UACGUAGGGGGCAAGCGUUGUCCGGAAUUAUUGGGCGUAAAGAGCGUGUAGGCGGUUCGAUAAGUCUGCUGUAAAAGUCGGGGGCUCAACCCUCGAAGGCCGGUGGAUACUGUCGAGCUAGAGUACGGAAGAGGCGAGUGGAAUCCCUGGUGUAGCGGUGAAAUGCGCAGAUAUCAGGAGGAACACCAAUUGCGAAGGCAGCUCGCUGGGACGUAACUGACGCUGAGACGCGAAAGCGUGGGGAGCAAACAGG
rnacentral:rRNA from 1 species